UUUGCCUUUCAUUUUCCUACUUCAUUGUCUUACGUUUACAAUGCUCAGUGCCGGAGGGGUUGGGGGAGGAUUCCUUGUCAGAAAGUUCAUUUCCUAGGAAGCCAAAAUCCAUAGGAAUUAUCUCCUCAGCUGAGGUAUUUGAUACCCAGAGCUAUUUUUCUCUUAUUUAGUCUAAGAUUUGUGAACAGAAGAGAGUCACUCCAUCUGUCUCAUGUUGACUUCUUAGUGAAGUCUUUUGUUUUGAGAAUGGAAGUUUUCCUCCACACAUUUAAAAUGCUGAACAUGUGACAAGGGUUUGGUUCCACCCCAGGAAGGAGGAUGCUAGACUCUCUUGGUCCGUUGAGGGGCUAUUGAGUCCACGCUGAUUCAAGUAUUUCUUUAGCCUCCUUUGAAGAGGGAAGAGUUAACCCACAGCUGCAUACUUCAUCAGUAACAGCCCUACAUUUCGGUCUGGUCUGGGUGACUCUCUUUCUUCUUUAUCUUGAGUCCAUUUGCUGCUGUCAACAGUAUCUAUCUAUUGUAGCCUCAAGCCCCUCCAUCCUCAGACAGCUUUCCCUCCCUAACCUUUCCCUAACCCCCAUUGCAAAUGCCUGUGUUUCUGCACCCUCUCAUGACUGCCACGUUUCUACAGAUAAAUUCUCUAUUUUCUCCUCUCCUGGCAUUUGAAACCCUUUCUUCUUUCCUGUUUUUUACUUGCUUUACAGGUCCAGAUUUUUCACUAAGAAUAUCUCAAGUAUGUUGGUCCCGCAAUUGUCAACAUGUUUUGGGCAUUGUUAGAAAUGGGUAUAUACAAAGAAGCGAACCCUGUUGGUAACAAAAGACCAGAGAAAUGGCACGGAUUGGCAUGUGACUUGGUUUAAGGAUGGCAAGCGCUACAAGCUGGAGCCCCUGGAUACAUGAAAGAAGAACUCAGGCUCAACUCAGAGUGAGGAGGACUUUGCAUUUUUUAAAAAAGUGGGGUCAUUAGGGCAGAAGACUUCUGUGCAGAGGGCUCUGGGUUUGCUUAAGUAUUUGGGGGAGCUAACUGCAGAUAUAGCUGCUUGGCUUUAAGGGGUGCAGCUGUGUAGGAGGGGUUGCAGAGGAGGAAGGGUUAGGGAGGAGGGACUAGAGAGUCCCUGCCCCCAAGCCAGAGCCUUUUAAGCAUUUCCCAUAGAGUCUCAGCCAGAUCAGAACUGCACUUGAAGGAACAUCUGGGGAUAAAUGCUGAUUCAGGAUUGUGGGUAAAAAGGAUAUGUAUCCCAGUGAGUAGAAAAAAAUGUAAACACAGCAGUGUUGUAUGUAUCUAAGGACGUCUAGGACUGCACUUCUAUUUCAGAGAUGUUAAAGUGUAAAAAGAGAUACCUCUUAAAAUAUAUGGGAGUUGCAAAACAAUAAAUAAAUAAAUAAACAAACAAACAAAUAAAUAAAUAAAUAAAUAAAUAACACUGGGAGUGGUGGUGCAUGCCUUUAAUCCCUGCACUCAGUAGGAAGAGGCAGUUGCAUCUCUGUGAAUUAAUUCCAGGCCAGCCUGGAAUACAUAGCAGAAUUUCAGACAUGCCAGGGCUACAUAGGAGACUCUAUUAGGAAAAAAAAGCAAUUGCUGGAUAUUAUGUGUCUGUGUCUUGGGGGCUCAGAUUUGAGGACUGCCUGAGUGUAAUGCAACUUGAGCACUUCCACUAGCGGACUAGCCUUCUAACUAUUGGACUAUGUGAGACUAUGUUACUCCUUCAUUUAAAAAGACACUUAAAAACAAAGUAACAAGUCUGUUGAUGGUAGUAUACCUCAUUCACCCAGGGGGCAGGAGCAGGAGAAUUGUGAGUGGAGACCAUCCUGAGUUAAACAGUGAGACCACAUCUCCAAAAGGAAAAAGAAUAGGAGGGGGAGGGAGGUGAAGUUUCAACCAGAGGAAGAGUCCAGAUGCUGCUGAGACGAUGCAGGAAAGAGGUUAAAAUAAAUAAAUAAAUAAAAGGUUUGAGUUCAGCAGAAGCCGAGAAAGGGAGAUGAACAGAUGGAUUCGAGAGAUAUUUAGGAGGUGAAUUCAAUAGGACCUGGCACCAGAGUCAGCCAGGGGAUGAGGAACCAGCUUGGCAAGCUCAUGAGUAGCUGAGAGAGGUUUGGCAUCAUCUCUCCCUCUAUUCGAGAGAAGAAAGAAAAGGUAGUUUGUGGAAAUACAUAAAGAUGGGAAAUUCAACUUGGGGCAUAUUACAUUUAAAGGGCUAUUAAAAGAGAUAUCUAGAAGAUAGUUAGCAAUAUAAAUUUGGGUCACCAGAGCCAUGCCAUUCACAUCUACAAAUGGCCGUCUACACCACAGGAGAGGAAAUUGCUCAAAAAACAACAUGCAGGCAGGAGGUCAGGUACAAGAGGCCAAACUGGCAAUUCCCAGAGAAAGAGGAAAGGCCUCCUGUGGGGACUUGGAAGGGACCCCAAGAGGAACACCUGUGUCUCAGAAGAGCAGGAUCCGGGGGGGACAGCUUUCUAGAGACACUGCCAAAGCCGAUAAGAAGGAAAACAGACCCAGAGCUGGCAGGUCACUUAGGCUGAUCUGGAACAAUGUCAGAACAGUGGCAGGGACCGGAGCCAGUCACACAGAAACCUGAGGGGCAGGUGAGGGAGAGAGUGUAAGGAAAAGACUCACCCAGCCGCCCCUAGAUAUAAGGAAAGAUGGUGGAUUUAGAUACAGAGAACAUCAUCAGACCAUGAAACCAAGUUUUCUUCUUUGAAGGCAGGGUAUGACCUGGCAUGUGUGCUGAGGGAAACAAGCCAAAGAAGGCUUCCAGAAGGUUCCAGAGCACACCUAUGGCUCAGGAUGAAGCUCUCAACUCCUUCUCCAGUACCAUGCCUGCUAUGCCUGCUGCCAUGAUGAUAAUAGACUAAAUCUCUGAAAAUGUAGCCAGUACCUAAUUAAAUGGUUCCUUCUAUAAGAGUUGCCUUGGUAGAACCCUGACUAAGACACCAAGAAAUGGCUCAUCCUGAAUGAAACUGGAUCAAACAUAUUCCUAAAACAUAGUCUUCUCCAAUGGUGGACUCUACACUUCUGAAGUCUUCCACUUAUGCCUAAUCCUGCGUCCUCCUCUAGCCUAUCAUAUUGAUGAAUCCGUCUUCCAUCUUGACUGAAAAAUUUAAAAAUUAAAAGCAGUGUUCUUGAAGGAUUUUCAACAACACAAAAGUAAUAGAAGUAAGUGCUAUUUUUAGUAUCACCAUAAUUCUAUAAAAAUAUUCACUCUUUGGAAAGGAAACAGACCCAUAUUUAUAUGUGCUUUUAGUUUAUAUUCUCAGAGGUUUGUAAAUUAAUAAGUAUGCAUGGGUAAAUAUUUAUGUACAUGCAAUUUAUUUAAACAAAACCAAAUUUAAACCCAGGUGUAAUAUAAACCCCGCUGUUAUACGCAGAGACAGAGUUCUCUACAUGCUUAAAUUUAGUCCCUUUCUGAUUAUGGUAUCUGAUCUGAUUAGAAAAAAUAAUGAAAGAAAUACCAGAGGGAGAAGGGAGGAGGGAGGGAGGGAGCUGGGAGGGAGGGGAGAGAUGGAGGAGCAGGUUAGAUUUCUGGAAUCUCGUGUGGAAUCUCGUCAAUCUUAAAAGGAUUGGUGAGUCAAACCUCAGUUCGUCUCCCUACCCGAUUCUUUGAGGGCCCAUUUUGAUUCAGUCAGUCAUUCUUCUUUAGUACCUUUAAUUAUCAUUUGCCCGAUUUUCCUUUGCUGAAACUAUAAUAUUAAAUGUGCAUAAUUGAUCAUAGAAGUGCAUGCCUUUUUAGCCCUCAGCAGCCAGGCUUCCUACUGACCAAAAAGCUGCAUCUUCCCACUGUGAGUGCCCUUUGCAAAUUGGUGCUGUCUGUGGCCCUCAGUGUCACUGUUUAAUAAAUGUCUAAUAUCCGGACAGUGCUUAUGCUAGGUGCUGUAACCAAGACCUGACAUCACAGACUCAUAACAGAUUCUUAUGUUGGCUCAGAGUUUUGGAGGUCUUAGGCUCCAUUGCCUCUGGACCUGAGGUUAAGCAGCCAUCAUGACUAGGACUGGAGCAGAACUACUUGUCACAGUGCCAGAUAACAAAAGAAGGAUCAGAAGGAAGAGACUGGGAUCCUACAUUCUCUUAUUCCCUUAUGACUUCCCACCAGGCUCCAUCUUUUGAAGAUUCUCCUGCCUCCAAGGGGUGGUUAAGUGGGAGCCAAGACUUUAGCAGGGAGUCUGUGGAGGGCACUCAGAACCCAACUUUAUGUAGCAAUAUAGUAAUAAAAAUGGAAAUACAUAAAACACAAUGUUCUAGUUCCAUUUCUGUCACUGUGAUAAAAGUAAUUUAUGGGAAAAAGGAUUUAUUUUAGCGCAUAAUUCCAGGUUGUAGUCAAUCACAGCAGGGAAAUCAAGACAUCAGGAAUCUAAAAGUGUAACAAAUAAAUCCAUUUUCCCUCUUGGCCAAUUAUUUCCAAACAAUAACAACUCUGAGACUAAUAAUUUGUCAAUAAAUGCCUAGGCCACAAACUUUGG